GCGCGAAAACUUUACAAUGCUGGCAACAGCGAUAAGGGAACCUCGAGUGCCAGGUUACAAAUCUGGCUGUCGAGAUGCCUAAAAAGCAUUUCAUAGCAAGGGCCGGGCAAGACCGGUGCCAGCCGCCGCGGUAACACCGGCGGCUCGAGUGGUAACCGUUAUUAUUGGGUCUAAAGGGUCUGUAGCCGGCCGGAUAAGUCUCUUGAGAAAUCUGGCAGCUUAACUGUCAGGCUUUCAGGAGUUACUGUCUGGCUCGAGGCCGGGAGAGGUGAGAGGUACUUCAGUGGUAGGGGUGAAAUCUGGUAAUCCUUGAAGGACCACCAGUGGCGAAGGCGUCUCACCAGAACGGACCUGACGGCAAGGGACGAAAGCUAGGGGCACGAACC
rnacentral:rRNA from 1 species